GCGGAACUGGCGGAAUUGGUAGACGCGCUAGAUUCAGGUUCUAGUGUUCGCAAGAACUUUCGGGUUCGAGUCCCGAGUUCCGCA
rnacentral:tRNA from 2 species